UUUUUGUGCUAUUCACAGAAAAAUCGAUGGCAGUUGUUUGUGUUUGUGGGUGAUGCUGCUCUCAAAGUGCCCACAUCCCUGAAGCACCGCAUCCAAAACCUUCAGGACUUCUUGUUGAAUAAAAAACCCACUCCUGAAAAGGUGCUGCUGCUUCUCCACAAGACAAACACAGGCAAAGGCUGAUCACCAGUGGAGGUGUUCCUAGUACACAGGAGAGGUGGAUAAGGGGCCCUUUCGCGUCGUGCAGGAUGGAUGGGAACAUGCAAAACUAAGCCCUCUUUCCCCGAGGACUGAAAUCUUUCCCGGGAGCCAAAACUCUAAACCCACGGGAGAGGCGCUGUCAGAAUAUGACGCUGAAGGGGCGUGGUUUUGCCCAAAUAUGGCGCUCUGACGGUUCCUGUCAAGCAGUGGCGCUCCUCUGUACGGGUACAGCCCUAUAGUGCAGCAGGCUGAGAACACUCUUUCGCUCCACUUUUCCUCUUGCUUAGGCCCUAUAUGUGGAGCCAUCUGGACGUGGAGAGGGAGUCAGCUGCUCCACACACUGAGGCGCGGAGCCUGAAUCCGUCUCAGCUCAUUCUGUGGGAUCAUCUGCGUGGUGGGCUUACACCGUGGAAAAUGCGCUCUCCAUCAUUAGCGCGCAUGUGCGUGUGCAUGGCCACACAGGCAGCAGCCUUUCCCUCAAUACUCAAGAGAACUUUAAUUUGCCUGUUGACCCCUGUGAUGGAGCUACUGCCAGCUUAAAGUGAUACUGCCCCACCUACAGGAGUCCAAUAAUUCUCAAGUCCCUCACGUGUAUAUUUUUCUAAAUGUUGCAUCAGUGCAUCUAAUUUACUAUCCUUAAAGUAAUACAAAUGUGAUGGUGAUUGGCAAGGUGUCUCAUUCUGUGCAAUGCGGUACAAUUCAUAAGUCUACAGAAUUUGUAUUUUAGUUAGAGAUCCUUAUUAAUAUUGAACUGUGUUACUAUUAACAGAAAUGUUAAUUAUGAUGUCAAGACGGAGAGAGUCAAGGUGAAAGCUGCACAGCAAUAGCUAAAAAUAAUCCAUGCCAGCCAGAGUACAGUAUGAUCCUGCAGAGGAGUGUUACUGGCAAGGGACCUUUUUGCUGCAACAAAGAGGUGGAAAAGAGGAAGUAAAUGAAUUAGAGUACAAGCCAGUUUUUGUCUGUGUUUCAUCCACACUUGUCCUGUCCUUAAUUUCCAACCUCUCCCUUUUCCUUGCUAUUGGAAGUGCUGCAAAUUGUAUAAUGCUUGUCUUUGUUCUACAGAGUCAAGCCACAUGAAUAGCUGUCCUGAGCACACACAAAAACACACUGACAAACUGAUCAUCUUAAAAAAGCAACGCCCUGGUGCUCACUUGGCCUACUUUCCACGGCAGCACUGGGACGUGGGAAGAGGAAUAGAAUUCAGGGGAGGAUGUUCUUGCACUCUGGGAAACAUCCAGUAUAGCAAGUGUGAUGCACAUAAACAUAGCCUUUGCAUUGUCAACCUUAGACCGCAUUUGCCCCAGAUAACUAGUCCCCAUGUGCUAGACUAUUCUCUUUGACUUUGCAAUUGAAAUCCUAAGAAGAUUAUGCCAAAGCUAAAAGAGGCAAACUCCAGGGUGGGAUUUCAAUUGUCAAUUCCUGUUGGAUUUUAUAGCAUUAUGACAUAUAGUACACCAUCUGUUACACUUCCUGUGACUAGGACUAUGUCUGCACAAGUGGAGCCUAUUGAUGUGAACAUCGUUACAAUUAAGACCUAUAUGGUUUUUAAUGGACAGCAAUAUUCAAUCACCAAUAUUGUUCUUUAUACACUCUGUAUUAUACACAAAUGUGUGACUAAGCACAGGGGGGUCUUCAGGUUUCAAAAGACAAGGGUAAAUUAGGAAGGUGCAGUGAAAGUAACCACUCCUAACUUUAGCUAAACAGACUUCCUGAAGCGCUAGAUAAUCUAGGGCUUCUAUGUACACCGCCUAACCAAAUGUCGACAUCUGCGAGGGUGUGCAUAAAGAAAAUCUCCUCAGAGAAACGGGGGAUAAUAAUCUUAGUUACCCUCACCUUCAGUUUGCCCAUAGGGGUUUGAAAAGGAGAUGAAGAAAUCCUAUGUAAACAUGCCAAGUCAAAUUUUCACUUGAAAUGUGACAUGGAGGCAAAGGCCAACCUUGGUGCUUCACUAAUGUGGUUCCACACAUGAGUUUUCAGUGCCCCUGGAUGUAAACAAUUGAUGUAUUCAGUCCGUGGUUUGAGCAGUGACUCACUUUGCACACUUAGUAUGUUUGAACAUCUUUUUCUCCAUGACUGUACGUUUAGUGCAUAGGUGA